GACGGAGGAUGCAAGCGUUAUCCGGAAUGAUUGGGCGUAAAGCGUCCGCAGGUGGCAGUUCAAGUCUGCUGUCAAAGACCGGGGCUUAACUUCGGAAAGGCAGUGGAAACUGAACAGCUAGAGUAUGGUAGGGGCAGAGGGAAUUCCUGGUGUAGCGGUGAAAUGCGUAGAGAUCAGGAAGACCAUCGGUGGCGAAGGCGCUCUGCUGGACCAUAACUGACACUCAGGGACGAAAGCUAGGGGAGCGAAUGGG
rnacentral:rRNA from 1 species